GAAGAAAUUAGUUAAAUUAACAUUAGUAUGUCAUGCUAAAAUUAUUAGUUAUUAAUCUAAUAUUUCUUA
rnacentral:tRNA from 1 species